GUAGGUGGCAAGCGUUGUCCGGAAUUAUUGGGCGUAAAGCGCGCGCAGGCGGGUUCUUUAAGUCUGAUGUGAAAGCCCACGGGCUCAACCGUGGAGGGUCAUUGGAAACUGGAGGACUUGAGUACAGAAGAGGAAAGCGGAAUUCCACGUGUAGCGGUGAAAUGCGUAGAGAUGUGGAGGAACACCAGUGGCGAAGGCGGCUUUCUGGUCUGUAACUGACGCUGAGGCGCGAAAGCGUGGGGAGCAAACAGGAUUAGAUACCCUGGUAGUCCACGCCGUAAACGAUGGGUGCUAAGUGUUAGGGGGUUUCCGCCCCUUAGUGCUGCAGCUAACGCAUUAAGCACUCCGCCUGGGGAGUACGGCCGCAAGGCUG
rnacentral:rRNA from 1 species